UACAGAGGGUGCAAGCGUUAAUCGGAAUUACUGGGCGUAAAGCGCACGCAGGCGGUUGGUUAAGUCAGAUGUGAAAGCCCCGGGCUCAACCUGGGAAUUGCAUUUGAAACUGGCCAACUAGAGUACGUGAGAGGGGGGUAGAAUUCCAAGUGUAGCGGCGAAAUGCGUAGAGAUUUGGAGGAAUACCAGUGGCGAAGGCGGCCCCCUGGCACGAUACUGACGCUCAGGUGCGAAAGCAUGGGGAGCAAACAGG
rnacentral:rRNA from 1 species